UAAAAUAAAAAUAAUAAAAUAUUUAAAAAAGAAAAAAGAAUAGACAGGGAUCCUCCCAGAUCUCUGUAGUUCUUUAUGGUGCACACUUAGCAUAGUUCUCCCUACCCAUUGUCUAAGGGCAGCUUACUACCUACAUACUUUGUACCUUUUUCUCAAAAGAGACUAUCUAUAGUCUUUGCUGGCAGGACUGCUAGCUAUACAUCACAACUAUUAAGGAAAUCCUGUCUUAGCUAUUUCUGGAUACCUGAGUCUUUUCUGUAGGAAUCUUGAAUUGGAAGGAGUUCUGGCCAGUUCUAAGUACUAAAUUCCCUAGCUAUGGACUUGGAGACUGACAGUGCCACCUGGAGGCCACUAUGAUGGAUCCAUUCCUCUCCUUUAUUGGAACACAGUCACUUUGCAUGGCUCUUCUGCACAGUAACUUGAAGUACAGAGAUGGUACUUGAGAAGGCAGCGUCAAUAUACCUUCAACUGACAGCACAAGAAAUGUGGAAAGGAAUAUAGAACAGUCAGUCAAAUCUACCUUUCAUGAGACUCACCUGUCUGUCUGAUUGGGGCAUUUGUGGAUCACAGACUAUAACAAAUGGGAAGAAAAAUAAUUUUUAGAAGAACAUAGAGUUUUUAUGACCCAAAGAGAGGCAAAGGAAAUAGUUAAACUGAUGGUCAAUCAGAUAGGGAAAAAAAAAAUAAGCAAAAUACAAUUAAGGCACAUGCCUCCAAUACUAUCAGACUCCAAUGAUAAGACACAAUCUCUAAAGCUCCUGAAGAGGAAUAUGGGUUAAUCACAAGAAUCAAACCAGUAACGAACUGCUCAUCACCACCACUAACAGCUAGAAAACCAUGUGGCAAUGUCAGCUGCUACAAGGAAAUGUUAUUUUUGAUCCUAUGCUUAUUAUCACCCUUAAAACAUGAGAACCAAAAAGAUACAUGAUCAUAUAAGAAUUCUGUGAUAGGCUGGAGAAAUGGCU